UUUCCCACAAUGUUACAUAUUAGAGCACGUAAACUAAACGCAAAAAGAAAAAUAAGAAACAACCUCGUGCCAUCAUCCACUCUAAGCAGUUACCCAGUUACUUGCUUAUCUAUACUCUGAAGAGGAGCACAUACCACAUCAACAAUAAAUAGGUGAGAAAUCACAAAUAAUAAUAACAGACAUAUACUGCAAGGUAGGAUAAUAACACAACAUUCUCCACACAAUUUCACUCAUGAUACAUCUCAUCACA
rnacentral:lncRNA from 1 species